UGGACACAGGGAGGGGAACAUCACACACCGGUGCCUGUCAUGGGGUUAGGGGGCAAGGGGAGGGAGAGCAUUAGGAGAAAUACCUAAUGCCUGUGGGGCUUAAAAGCUAGAUGACAGGGCGGGCACGGUGGCUCAUGCCUGUAAUCCCCUCACUUUGGGAGGCUGAGGUGGAAUUUCCAGCCUUCCUUUUGGAAACUGGGGUUGACCCAUUGGUAUUUUAUAAUGGCCUAUUUGAAUCCUUAGAAACUUCGCCUUUGAAGAUUUACAUAAGACAGGCCGGGCUCGGUGGCUCACGCCUGUAAUCCCAGCACUUUAGGAGGCCGAGGCAGGCGGAUCAGGAGGUCAGGAGAUCGAGACCACCCUGGCUAACACGGUGAAACCCCGUCCCUACUAAAAAAAAAAAAAAAAAAAAAAAAUUAGCCAGGCAUGGUGGCGGGCACCUGUAGUCCCAGCUACUCGGGAGGCUGAGGCUGGAGAAUGAGGCUGGAGGCUGAGGCGGAGCUUACAGUGAGCGAGAUAGCGCCACUGGACACUCCAGCCUGGGUGACAGAGCAAGACUCCAUCUCAAAAAAAAAAAAGAAAAAAAGAUUUACAUAAGACAAUAACUUUAGUUAAGGCUUUCUUUUUUUUUUUUUUUUGGCAUCAAGUUCUGUUAGACUUUUUUCUUUGGCUUUUAUAUUAUCUUCUUUCUUUGUAUGGGCUUCAACCUUAAAAUGGCCAACUCUAGAAAGUAGAGUGCCUUAACUUAUUCAUUUUCAUGGGGUUUCCAGCAGAGAUGAUGGAUUUCUUUUUUUUUCCAAAGAGUCCCAAAUUCAUGUAGUACUCUAAAAGCAUACAUGCUAUAUAUGUUUACUACAUGGUCUUCAGCUAAUUGACAAGCUCCAGUAAGUGUAAUAAAUUCCAUUAUAUGGGUUGAUUUUACCUCAGGUAGAAAAUAUAUUCUAAAGGAGAGCUUAAAUUAGUGAUAAUUUUCAAUAUCAGUUUUGAGGUAUGAUCCAUCAAUGAAUAACAUUUGAUCAGGGUUCACAAUGACAGCCAGUUUCUCAUCAAUCUGAGUGAGGUAUAGAAACUCCCCUAAUUGAAGUAUAACAAUCAUGAGGUUCCCCUUCUUCUGGCAAGGAGAGGAGAGUGGCAGAAUUUAAGGAAUU
rnacentral:lncRNA from 1 species